rnacentral:lncRNA from 1 species
UAGCUCACAAAUCUCUUGAGAUUCCAACUGACACAAAGUCCUGACCCACUGAUUCUCUCUCUCGGAGAAAACCGAAAAAAGAAGAGAAAGAGAAAACGUUAAAAAGGAGAAAAGGGAAGAGACUUUUCUUUUUCCCAAGAGGCACCCACUCAAGUACUCUCUUUUUGAACAAAAGGAAAGAAGGAAAAUCAAAAAAGAAAAACCUCUUCUUCUCCCUAACAAUUUCCGUCACCUCUUUAUUUUCUUCAUCCACUCAAUUUCUCUUGAACACCAUCACUCUACCCUAAGUAUCUCCCUGCUGGAACGAAAAAAGAAAAACAAAAAGAAGAACCUUUGCUCUUCCUCUCGCCACGCCAUCAAACAACUCACCAUAACCACAAAUCCAUCGUCUUCUUCCUACCAAUCUCCACACCGCCACCGCGAUUUUUGUUUCCACCGGAAACAAUCCUUCAACCACUCGUCUCCGACUUCACAACUCACCAACACCACCGUCACACAACCCAGCUCGAACACCACACCCUCCACCGAAACCCACCGUCCAAACACCAACUCCGACGAACUCCACCGCCAAACAUCCGUACCCACCCCCUCAACCUUGUCGCGCCGCCGCCGACAGCGAUCUCACGAAAUUACAACCUCCAUCAUCGAUCGUUCACCACCGUCAAUAAACGUGCACUCCUCCACCCUCUUGCCGUAAACAUCUCUUCCCACCCACAUCUCUUCCGACUCAUAAGUUCCGAAAUUGAAAAGGUUGACGGAUUUACUUCAAAUAUAAUUUGGGCAGCAUAAUCUCAGGAUAUUAAUCACCGCUUACCGCAUUAACCCAACUCAGUACAGUCUAUAAGCUUGUUUUAUUUUUCGGUUGGCUUUGCUUUCGGUUAUGGAUCGUUUCAAACCCGUAUUCAUCGUCCAAUUUGGCUAUAUUGCUUCGAUAUUUAUGUUGUUGAGAAAUAAUGCAGCAUUUGUUCUUAUACUUUGCGAUUACUCUGGUUCGUAAGUUUAUUAUUUUGGAUUUGGUGUUAAUAUGUAGUAAAAUAAAUAUGUGUAUAAUUUAAAGAGAUUUAUGGAAAUACCAUGAUACUUUGUGUUAGAUAGGGACUUGAUUUGGAUGCACAUUUUAAGUGAUAUACUGCAAAUGUUGUACUAGACCAGUGAAGAGGAAUGAGAUUCGUCUCUAUUUGCCUUAACUUCUUUUUUCGGUUGGUGUGAUUAUACAAAGUCACAUGCCUAGUGGUGUGCAAAAAACCGGUUAUCCAUAACCAAAUUGGUAUCCAAAUUAUUCUACUUUAAAAAACCAAACCAAAUGCUAAAAUAAAAAUUUGGGCAUCCAUUUUAUUAUCCAAAUAUAAACCAUUAUCCAUUAUAAAAAUUUGGUUUUGUUAUUAAGUAUCCAAUUUUUACUAUGCGUUAAAUUUUUGUAUUUGUCUAUUUUUAUGUUUUA